UCGCAUAUUAUCGUGGCCAGUUUUGAACCGUAUAGCGACAACACUGUUAAUUUCAUGGAUUGAGAACUUGUACUUUAUGGGUUCCUGCCAUAUAUACAAGAUAUCAGAGUAGCGAAGCUUAUCCAAAGCAUAAAUGCUACAUAAAUUUUGAGUCUAGAGAAGCUAGCUGGAGUAGGACAUGAAGCCUGUACUAUCAACAAAAGUUGUUCUUCUAAUAGCAUUCUUAGUUAUAUGCUACUUUUCAUCGUCUCUUAUUGGAGCAUAUGCAAGAAGUGUAAGGACAGACACUUUUGGAAUUCAUGCUACUCAUCUUGGUCAAGAAAAUCUUGUUAAUGCAGAGAAAAAAGAGAAAGUUAUAAAAGAUGAUGAGGGAGCCCAGCUGGUCUCAAUGGAUUAUACAGCACCUAGAAGAAAACCACCGAUUCAUAACUAGUGUUAUCAAAUUUAAUGAGCAUGUGCAUUUUUUUGUUGGGAUUUGUAAUUAUUAGCGCCAUGCAUGAGUCUCUUCUUUUGAUUUGUGAAAGCAACGUUUUGUAUUAAUAAUAAUUAGUAGAGCAGUGUGAAGACCGUUGCUAUAUGUGUUCAGAGGUUUGUGGUAUUUGGGCAAUACUUUCCAUAAUAGGCAUUUUUUUUCUUUUUAA